UACGUAGGGCGCAAGCGUUGUCCGGAAUUAUUGGGCGUAAAGAGCUCGUAGGCGGUUUGUCGCGUCUGCUGUGAAAUCCCGAGGCUCAACCUCGGGUCUGCAGUCGAUACGGGCAAACUAGAGUAUUGCAGGGGAGACUGGAAUUCCUGGUGUAGCGGUGAAAUGCGCAGAUAUCAGGAGGAACACCGGUGGCGAAGGCGGGUCUCUGGGCAAUAACUGACGCUGAGGAGCGAAAGCGUGGGGAGCGAACAGG
rnacentral:rRNA from 1 species